CAUGGCUCAGGAUGAACGCUGGCUACAGGCUUAACACAUGCAAGUCGAGGGGAAACGGCAUUGAGUGCUUGCACUGAAUGGACGUCGACCGGCGCACGGGUGAGUAACGCGUAUCCAACCUUCCCGUUACUGCGGGAUAACCUGCCGAAAGGCAGACUAAUACCGCAUGUUCUUCGAUGACGGCAUCAGAUUCGAAGCAAAGAUCCGUCGGUAACGGAGGGGGAUGCGUCUGAUUAGCUAGUUGGCGGGGCGACGGCCCACCAAGGCGACGAUCAGUAGGGGUUCUGAGAGGAAGGUCCCCCACAUUGGAACUGAGACACGGUCCAAACUCCUACGG
rnacentral:rRNA from 1 species